AGUUUCCGUGCAUCGAGACCAACGCUGAGUGUAACGACCAUCCUUGUUGCCGUUUCACGGACACAUGCGACUAUCGUUCGAUUCUUACAGAUUACAGGCGUUUCUGUACGCGACAUCAUCGGACUACCGAGCCUCCGCCAUUGGAUGAUUGAUGUACACCAAUAGUAACGACAACAGGAUGCGUCUGCCUGCUGUCCAAUUCUGGAAUGUUAACGAAUUGCACGAGUAUAAGAUCACCGAGUUCAAAGGUGUCUGCAAAUUUAUACACUGAGCGAUUUUCACUGUAUUUAUCAAGUUUUUUGUUUCUUCAAGAAAUUAAAGAAAAAAAUACAUUCCACUGAAAGCAAAC